rnacentral:rRNA from 1 species
CCUACGGGUGGCAGCAGUGAGGAAUAUUGGGCAAUGGAGGAGAGUCUGAACCAGCCAAGUAGCGUGAAGGAUGACUGCCCUAUGGGUUGUAAACUUCUUUUAUAUGGGAAUAAAAUGUUCCACGUGUGGGAUUUUGUAUGUACCAUAUGAAUAAGGAUCGGCUAACUCCGGGCCAGCAGCCGUGGUAAUACGGAGGAUCCGAGCGUUGUCCGGAUUUAUUGGGGUUAAGGGGAGCGUAGGUGGAUUGUUAAGUCAGUUGUGAAAGUUUGCGGCUCAACCGGAAAAUUGCAGUUGAAACUGGCAGUCUUGAGUACAGUAGAGGUGGGCGGAAUUCGUGGUGUAGCGGUGAAAUGCUUAGAUAUGACGAAGAACUCCGAUUGCGAAGGCAGCUCACUGGACAUCAACUGACACUGAGGCUCGAAAGUGUGGGGAUCAAACAGGAUUAGAUACCCUUGUAGUC